rnacentral:lncRNA from 1 species
AAAGAAUCACUUUUUCUAAGUAUGUCGGAGUGAUUGAGCAGAGAGAAAAAUGAAUACCCUAAGCGAACUAGAAAUCUGGAAAGAACCGAAAUAGAGGCAGUGUCUCAUGACACUUUACUUGAGGACUCACCUGAUGAACUGCUGAUCAACUCUAUAAUUUUUCUUUCUAGGAUUCCUUCACCUAACCAGAACUGACUUCAUCAGAGAGUUAUGAUGGUUAACUCUAUCAGUCUUCUACCUGAAUGCCCCAAGAUAUUGAUGAAGUCAACAAAAACAUUGAGCCUCAGAACACAAGAAAUCUUGGACAAACUGGGAGACAGCUUGUCAGUAUCUAAGGUUGCCAUCUGGAGUUUUAAGUAAUUGUCUACUACUGAAGAAACAAGACCCAGCAGACCCUCAGAUGGAACUGAAGUCUCUGUCUUGUCCUGGAGAUGUCCCCCAUCUCCUCAUCCCCAUCAGCUGAGGAUUUCCAUUUGUUUACAUGGCCCUCCAGGAUCUCUCCUGCACUUCCCCAGACUUGAUCCUGAAGCCUCCAUUUCCCUCCCUAUAGGGUUCAGAUAUCUCCAACCAAAGAACAAGUCAGCCAUGCUAUAAGUGCCUUGAAAUCAAGUUCUAAGUGAUCUGUUGCCCUUCUCUUGCCUCUACCUGCUUACAGAGCCCUCUGAACUCCAGGAAAACACUUUGCCAUGGGCAUGUAUGAUUUUUCCAAGUGCAGAGUGAUGUCGACACAUCAUGGACUCUGGUCUGUGCUCCACUACAGAAGGCUACCACUGUCUUACAAGUCGAUUUUAAAAUACUCACAGCUUCACUUUCUUUUAACAGUCCUUUAGCUCAGAAUGUUCUUGUCUGUCUGGGCCUGCCUUGAAAUUGAUCCUGGAUUUGAAACUGACAACUGUGAACUAGCAAGAAAAUGGUGCUGCAAGAGUUUUCAUGUUUGAAGAAGAUUCAAAGACGGGUCUGAUUGUAUAGGUUCAUGGCUCAGUCACAAAUAAACAUAGGUUCUGAUCACCUGAGCUCUUCAGUUCACUCGGAUUCGGAAGUGCUCUCUCUCUCUCUCUCUCUGUCUCUCUCUCUCUGUGUCUGUGUGUGUGUGUAAUAAAAUGUAAUGCAAUGUAUAUAUAAAAUAUUAUACAAUAUUCUGAAGAGUUUUGAGGCAGUAUUCUAUAAUCAAAUACAUUAAUAUUCCUGCACCCAAAAGGCAUAAUGGCCACAUUAGGAGAACUAUGUGGCAAUUAUAGACUUUGUUACGGGAAUUUUAUUACUGGCUCCAAAAUGAUACAAACAUUUCCAAUGCUUAUUAUAUUUUGUUGUUGCAGACAUGAUAUUAUAAGAUUUUAUUUUGAAAAUAUCUGCUAUAGGACUAGUGAAAUAUUUUUAAAACGGCAUUUAAUAACACAGUAGAGAAAAAUUUCAAGGCUAGGAUGAAAACUCUCCUAUAUUUUAAUGUGAACCCAUUUCUGUGUGGAGUAAAAAUCUGGGGAAAAAACACAAAUGUUAAGAAUAAGCAGGAAUUAAUAUCAAGGAAAGUAACAUGCAAGUAGUUUAAAGGUAGCUUAAGAGAGUAAUUAUCAUUUUCAAAUUGCGUGAGAAAUACAGAAACUCUGAAUAGCUUUUUCUGAAAUCACAUUAGCCGCCCUCCCUACCUCCAUUACUCUACAUAAUUUCACCACAGACCAGUGGGAAUCAUAAACACAGUUUAUAAGUGCUUUAGCUUUGUGAGUAUAUUACUCCUAGAGUGGAAACUAUUGAGGUAGAUGCUGUAAAAGAUACACUGUAGAUGUGAUAUUCAUUGUAUUGUUCACAGGGAGGAUACAGGCUGAAUCAUUGAAAUGAUGUGAACUUUCUUCCCCCAACACAAUCUCUCUCCACUUAUUGCUCCCACUUCCACUUUCUUAAGAAUUUAUAGUCAUUAUUUAACAGUGAUGCAUUAGACUGUUUUUCAGUGGAUUGAAAUCUCCAUGUGCCCAAAGCUUUUAAACUCCAUGUGAAUUGAAUUUGAAAAUUUCUGUACAGCUGAAUUAAAUAACUUCUCAUCAUAACCUGUUAUUUUUAUCUUUGUCUUCUUUAUGGUUAUUUUGUUUACAAGUCUAGUACAUAGAAUUUGAAUUUUAUAUUUUAAAGGUGAUAGUUAAUAUCUGAUUUUUCACAUUUACUGUUACCCCUUCUACCAAAUAAAUAAAAAAAAAUACUGUUACUCCUUCUAAAAAAUAGAUAAAAAUUACUAGAUUUUUAUGAAGCUAGUGUUAGAAAUCUGGCAAAUAUUCACUAUAAUAGAAAGGAUAGAAUGAAAUGAAAUAUGCACUGUGAAUUAUCAUAGAAAUAAUGGAAAUGUUUAAUAAUUUGAUUUAUAAAUAUUUAAUAUGAAUAAAAUAAAUAAAUAUUUCCCAUGUUGUGUGCAAUAAAAUUUAAGAUUUAAUGCAACACACAUAUAAAAUAUUAUACAAUACUCUGAAUAGGUCUGAGGUAGUAUUCCAUAAUCAAAUAAAUUAAUAUUUCUACACCAAAAAGCACAGUAGCCUCAUUAGGAAAACAAUGUGUGAAUUACAGAUAAAAUUGUCGCCAAUAUAAAGGGCCUAACAUAUACAAUAUUUAGAUUUUGAAAAAAAAAUGACUCGGUCUCAGCCCACUAAAUUCUCUACAAGUAAAAUUAACUCAAUUUAAAAGGUAUAUGAUAAGCCAGGCAGUAGUAGUUAACACCUUUAAUCCCAGCACUUGGGAGGCAGAGGCAGGCAGAUUUCUGAGUUCGAGG